UGUUGAUUUGUUCUUGUCCCAACUGUUGAGUAACCGACUUUUUAAGUCGUUUAAUGAGCGAAGGAACGUGCCUUGGAGUCGACAUCCUUUUCCCCACUCACGUGAACAGCCUUUCAACAGCUGAGAUUAUGAUACCGGUUUGUUUUAACACGUGAGCGUCAUCUUUAUCGUCAUGUUAUGUGGCAGCCCCUUUGUUGCCCACCGAGUUCCGUUCAAAUGCUGACGCCUCACAGAUAUUAUCCCAGUCCCAUAUUCUCCGACUUCCGCCCUCUCAUAUAUACGCUUCGACUUACAGCGACACAGACACGGGGAGUCGUGUACAGAACUUCAGCCUUAAGAACCUAAGCUUUCCUGACAGUCAAUCCAGCGAGUUCCGACUGUCCCAACUCCUGCGCCACCGCCACCGAGGCGGCGGCUUCUCUGUAUGGUAGCUGAGUAUAAAGGAAUUCACCAGGGAGAACCGGCAGAAGGAUGGAAGCCCCCAGAACUAGCAAUCGCUUUUUGGGUUUUGCCUACAGUUGGGACUACGAACAAACGAUACUUGCUGCUUGCUCAAUCGCGCGAUACGUCAAUUCAGAGCAAUGGUGAGAUGUAUAGAUGAGCGCCACUCAGUUUAUUGGCACGCUCGAUGAAAGCGCGGCAAAAUCCGAAAGGCAAAUACGAAAAUUACGGAUGUUUAGAUCCCUUAACUUCGAAAACAAACGACGACCCUCUCACUGGGAACACUCAUCACGCCGCAGACUGUUUCUACUGGCACCUCCAGCAAAUGUCUGGUACCCCAUGGAUUACAAGAUACGACAAAUUACAAUGGGAUGAUAAGGAGCACAGGUGGAUGACUUCGACAAAGCGCGCGAUGGAAAGCCAGCUUCCUCAUUAUGAUGAUGA